CUACGGGGUGCUCCAGUGAGGAAUAUUGCGCAAUGAGCGAAAGCUAGACGCAGCAACGCCGCGUGAGCGAUGAAGGCCUUCGGGUCGUAAAGCUCUUUUCUGGGGGAAGAGGAAGGACGGUACCUCAGGAAUAAGUGUCGGCUAACUACGUGCCAGCAGCCGCGGUAAAACGUAGGACGCAAGCGUUAUCCGGAUUUACUGGGCGUAAAGCGCGUGCAGGCGGACCGUUAAGUCGUGCGUGAAAGCUCCCUGGCUCAACCGGGAGAGGUCGUACGAAACUGGCGGACUAGAGGACAGCAGAGGAGUGUGGAAUUCCGGGUGUAGUGGUGAAAUGCGUAGAUAUCCGGAGGAACACCAGUGGCGAAGGCGGCACUCUGGGCUGUACCUGACGCUAAGACGCGAAAGCAUGGGUAGCGAACGGGAUUAGAUACCCCAGUAGUC
rnacentral:rRNA from 1 species